rnacentral:rRNA from 1 species
CCUACGGGAGACAGCAGUGAGGAAUAUUGGUCAAUGGGCGGGAGCCUGAACCAGCCAAGUCGCGUGAAGGACGACGGUCCUAUGGAUUGUAAACCUCUUUAGGCGGGGGGCAAUGCCGGGCACGCGUGCCCGGCGGGAGAGUACCCGCAGAAUAAGCAUCGGCUAACUGCGUGCCAGCAGCCGCGGUAAUACGGAGGAUGCGAGCGUUAUCCGGAUUUAUUGGGUUAAAAGGGUGCGUAGGCUGAUGUUUAAGUCAGCGGUAAAAUGUCCGGGCUCAACCCGGGCCGGCCGUUGAAACUGGGGUUCUUGAGUGGGCGAGAAGUAUGCGGAAUGCGUGGUGUAGCGGUGAAAUGCAUAGAUAUCACGCAGAACUCCGAUUGCGAAGGCAGCAUACCGGCGCCCGACUGACGCUGAGGCACGAAAGCGUGGGGAUCGAACAGGAUUAGAUACCCGAGUAGUC